rnacentral:rRNA from 1 species
UACGUAGGGGGCAAGCGUUGUCCGGAAUCAUUGGGCGUAAAGCGCGUGUAGGCGGCUCGAUAAGUCUGCUGUGAAAGUUCAGGGCUCAACCCUGAAAUGCCGGUGGAAACUGUCGAGCUAGAGUACGGAAGAGGCGAGUGGAAUUCCUGGUGUAGCGGUGAAAUGCGCAGAUAUCAGGAGGAACACCAAUGGCGAAGGCAGCUCGCUGGGACGUUACUGACGCUGAGACGCGAAAGCGUGGGGAGCAAACAGG